CCGGAUCUCAGAUCAAGC
rnacentral:rRNA from 1 species